GAUGAACGCUGACGGAAUGCUUAACACAUGCAAGUCCACUUGAAUUUGGGUUUUUAACUUAGGUUUGGGUGGCGGACGGGUGAGUAACGCGUAAAGAACUUGCCUCACAGCUAGGGACAACAUUUGGAAACGAAUGCUAAUACCUAAUAUUAUGAUAAUAGGGCAUCCUAUAAUUAUGAAAGCUAUAAGCGCUGUGAGAGAGCUUUGCGUCCCAUUAGCUAGUUGGAGAGGUAACGGCUCACCAAGGCGAUGAUGGGUAGCCGGCCUGAGAGGGUGAUCGGCCACAAGGGGACUGAGACACGGCCCUUACUCCUACGGGAGGCAGCAGUGGGGAAUAUUGGACAAUGGACCGAGAGUCUGAUCCAGCAAUUCUGUGUGCACGAUGAAGUUUUUCGGAAUGUAAAGUGCUUUCAGUUGGGAAGAAACAAAUGACGGUACCAACAGAAGAAGUGACGGCUAAAUACGUG
rnacentral:rRNA from 1 species